UGUUCAUUCUUUUUAUCACCAUCUAACAACCAUCUAUACAAAAAUUUAUUCAUUUGGACACAAUUUAGUCAUCCAUAUAUGUCAGACCAAUCGGCAGUCAUGAUAACAAGUAACAUCCUCAUUAUGAACCAUCAAUUUGUGUGAUUCAUAUGAAUAACUAAAGGAUUUCUAAAUCAAAUAAUUUUUUUAAAGAUGUUCAUUUGGAAGAAAAAUAACUUUUUAUAUGUAAGGAGUAAAAUAUAUAUAUAUAUAGUAAUUGUUUAUAUGGUCAUUCUUUCUCAACUGUAUUGCCCGUCUUAAAUGAGAAGAACUUACAUGCAAUCAGUUUGGUAAAUUGAUUGUAUUCGUGUCUAGGUCGACACACUAAAACAUAUGAGGACGCAUUAUAGGCUUAAAAGAUAUUGAACAAGUUAUAACACAUGACCACACGUUAUUAACAGAGAUGCUGCCAAUAGUCCUUGCAAGCAAGUUUCUCUCGUAUUUUAGAAAUACAUGGCAUUAAAACAACAUAUAAGUUAAACCCUAAUUUAUCUGCAACUAGGAACCAGUUUUCGUAAGAAAUGGAUAAGAGGAGUAAGGAGUAAGGACGACCUAUGGUGUGUCUGUAACUAAUGUCAUUGCCUCCACUUGGUGGUGGUGACGGUUGAGGCCAUUUUUAUGAAGGUAGGGUCUUCUUCUCCUUUUGUUUUCUUAGCAUUCAAGCAUAUUUAAUCAAAGAUUAGAUCCCCAUGAUUGUUGAAUAAAAAUUUACAUCUUAUUCAAACAGACGAUUUCUAGAGUGUGACUGUGUCUACAACAACAAUAAAGCCUUAUUUCAUUAAGUGGGGUUGACUAUAUAAAUCUUAGAACAUUAUUGCACUCGGUUUUGAGUCAAGUCUUCCACUAGCUCCAAAUACUCAUGUGUUUCUUAAAGUUUCCUUCCAAGUCUUUCUCUACUCCUUUUGCCCCAAGCCUUUGUCUCAUAAUCGUAUUUUCUAACCGAACAUCUAUAUAUGCCUUCGUUUCAGAUGAUCAAACCACCUUAACCAAGACUGUCUAAUAAAUAAAAUAUGGGAAAUUUUAUAUAGACCCAUUUAUCCUCUUUCUACACCCAACUUAUUAUUUUUUAUUUUGAAAUUCCAAAUGUGCCUAAUAAUUCUCUUUCUAAACCCAACAAGCACAAAAAAAAUAUAUAUAUAUAUUAGCAAUAGGCAACUCCAGCCACCUUAUCUCUUCAAACCUCAAUUUCUAACCUCCCUAACUCCCCACCGCCACCUCCCUUACCACCCACAACAAUUUGGAAAUUAGAACAUUAUUCCCAACAACCCACAAUUAAAAAACCCAAAAGAAACAUGUAAAUAU
rnacentral:lncRNA from 1 species